rnacentral:lncRNA from 1 species
AAUCUCCAAAAUAACACAUUUCUAAAUUUAUGUCACAAAAAUAGCCCUCAAAAACUAAAAUGACAAAAAUAACAUUUUAUCUUUUGAAAAAUUUAAAUUUUUUUUAUUUUUCAAAAUUUAAAAUUUUAUCCCAAAACCCCACUCCUCAACUCUAAACCCUAAACUCUAAACCCUAAAUCCUAAACCCUAAACCCUAAACCCUAAAUCCUAAACCUCCUCCUUAACUCUAAACCCUAAACCCUAAACUUCACCCCUUAACUCUAAACCCUAAACCCCACCCCUAAACUCUAAACCCUAAACCCUAAAUCCUAAACUUCACCCCUUAACUCUAAACCCUA